AGAUGUAAGGGCAACCCAGCUAUGACAUCUGUCAUCCCACUGAUUGCUAGAAUAGAUGUGGCUGACUAGGUUGGUGUUCUCUUCUCCUCUCACAAGUCCAUAUGCAUCCAUCCUGAAGCUGUGUACUUGGUGGAAGAGGACAAUCAUUCGAGACAGAAGGAGUGUACUGAUCUUCAGUCAAAGAUAUAAAGUAGGUAUGCUACCCAGCUAGAACAUCCAAACAAGCUCAAGAUAUCUCCACAGGAUCUCUGUAGGCAGCAAUCUCAGGUCAAAAAGCUAAAUUAAUAUUGCGCUACUAU
rnacentral:snRNA from 1 species